rnacentral:lncRNA from 1 species
UAAAGGAGUAGGUCCGGUAAGGACCGAUUUUGGCCUCAAAUUUCAGGUUCAUCUGACGAAAGAUUUUGACCACUUUUUAAACACUUAAGUGUCUAUCUUAUUUGAAUUAAUUAGUUUAUGUGAAAGAUUUUAACAGAUUUAGUCAUUAAAAACGAUCCGAUUCAAGCUCAAAUAUGAAAAAUCUACCUAAUAUGCCGAAAAAUGUCAUUUUUCAGAUG